GCAGAUUCAGGCUCAAAGUCAGCUUCGGUGUGUCCCAGCCUAACCCACCUCCAGCACUCACAGUGCCAUAAAUGUGACGAGCUGCUAAACCCUUCGAUGCAACACACAAGCUUAGCUAGAUAUUGUUACGGUUGAACAUGCAUAUUUAAUGGAGAAUUCGAGCAGGGAGGAGAUUACUGAUGAGUCGGACGCAGAAACCGGUUCAUAUGUCGGAAGGAGCAACCUAGACAAGCAUGAAGAACGCAGAAUCUGCUAUUGUACUUUUAUGAUCUUCCUCCUCUUCAAGCGGCGGCGAAUGCAGAAUCUGCCAAGUUGAGGACUUCAUGCAUUGAUAAAAUGGAAAAAUGGUGAUUACGGUUGAACAUGUAUAUUUAAUGGAGAAUUUGACAUGGAGAACUUGGCUGUCUCCUCUGUUGAACAGAUUGAUUAGAGGAGAUUAGGUGUGGUGAAAUUGGG